UACGAAGGGGGCUAGCGUUGCUCGGAAUCACUGGGCGUAAAGAGCGUGUAGGCGGCCAGAUAAGUCCGCUGUGAAAUCUCGAGGCUCAACUUCGAGCUGUCGGUGGAAACUGUCUGGCUAGAGUCCGGAAGAGGAGAAUGGAAUUCCUGGUGUAGCGGUGAAAUGUGCAGAUAUCAGGAAGAACACCCGGGGCGAAGGCGGUUCUCUGGGACGGUACUGACGCUGAGACGCGAAAGCGUGGGGAGCGAACAGG
rnacentral:rRNA from 1 species